GACGAACGCUGGCGGCGUGCCUAAUACAUGCAAGUUGAGCGCUGAAGGUUGGUACUUGUACCAACUGGAUGAGCAGCGAACGGGUGAGUAACGCGUGGGGAAUCUGCCUUUGAGCGGGGGACAACAUUUGGAAACGAAUGCUAAUACCGCAUAAAAACUUUAAACACAAGUUUUAAGUUUGAAAGAUGCAAUUGCAUCACUCAAAGAUGAUCCCGCGUUGUAUUAGCUAGUUGGUGAGGUAAAGGCUCACCAAGGCGAUGAUACAUAGCCGACCUGAGAGGGUGGUCGGCCACAAUGGGACUGAGACAAGGCCCAAACUCCGACGGGAGGCAGCAGUAGGGAAUCUUCGGCAAUGGACGAAAGUCUUACCGAGCAACGCCGCGUGAGGGAAGAAGGUUUUCGGAUCGUAAAACUCUGUUGGUAGAGAAGAACGGUGGUGAGAGUGGAAAGCUCAUCAAGUGACGGUAACUACCCAGAAAGGGACGGCUAACUACGUG
rnacentral:rRNA from 1 species